AUGGGGCUGAAACACUUCCAACUUACCCUCUGGCUGAGUGGCGCGCGGGCCCGGGCGGGAGCGAGGGAGGGCCGGCUGGGAGGGCGGGGCGGUCUCGCUUCUCUAAGUAAUGCCCGAGGAGCAGUGCCCCUUCCACCGCCCCCUCAUUGCCCCCCGGAGCCGGGGGUUCGGGGAGGCGGCUGCACCGGGCCUCCCGGAACGGAGCGGAGCAGGCAGGUUAAUGAGCAGGGUGGAGGAGGCACGGCGAGGCCCCGCACCCUCUCUGCGCCCGCGGCCAGGGCGCAGCGGGCGAGGCUUGGGAGCGGGAUGGGGCUGGCGGCAGCGGCGGCUCCCCCACCUACUUGCUGGGGGCGAGGCGCGGGGGCCUGGGGCCAGCCGCAAGGCUCCCAGCUCUCUUUCCGACUCUUGCAAAGGAGCGAAACACGCCCCACGUCAGCCUCAUCCCUUUCGACUUUUCCAACAGCUACUUUUAAGCUGUCAUUAAAGACCUGGGGCGCUCCCCGUAGGUCUGGGGCAAGUCCGCGCCGGUCCAGUCAGCCUGGGGAAGGAGCGAAGGCAGAAAGACUGGGAGGGGCGAGUGGGAGGGGAGACGCGGGGGAGAGGCGCUCGGGACCCCAGGGACCCCUCCCCACCCGCCCAGGCCACCGCCCUCCUGCCUCGAAGCAAACUAACACAACUCCCGACGGCGAGGCGCUCCGCCUGGUCGGAGCGGGCAACGCCAGUCCCUAA
rnacentral:lncRNA from 1 species